AUCCUUUUGUAGCUCCUAAGUGUGAUUGUUGGGUCUUCACUGCUCAUGUGUGAGAUGUGCCUCCCUCAAACCUUGCUACGUCAGCAUAUUAUCCAUCUGACA